rnacentral:rRNA from 1 species
GAUGAACGCUGGCGGUGUGCCUAAUACAUGCAAGUCGAGCGAACAGACGAGGAGCUUACUCCUCUGACGUUAGCGGCGGACGGGUGAGUAACACGUGGAUAACCUACCUAUAAGACUGGGAUAACUUCGGGAAACCGGAGCUAAUACCGGAUAACAUGUUGAACCGCAUGGUUCAACAGUGAAAGACGGUCUUGCUGUCACUUAUAGAUGAGUCCGCGUCGCAUUAGCUAGUUGGUAAGGUAACGGCUUACCAAGGCAACGAUGCGUAGCCGACCUGAGAGGGUGAUCGGCCACACUGGAACUGAGACACGGUCCAGACUCCUACGGGAGGCAGCAGUAGGGAAUCUUCCGCAAUGGGCGAAAGCCUGACGGAGCAACGCCGCGUGAGUGAAGAAGGUCUUCGGAUCGUAAAACUCUGUUAUUAGGGAAGAACAAAUGUGUAAGUAACUAUGCACGUCUUGACGGUACCUAAUCAGAAAGCCACGGCUAACUACGUG